rnacentral:rRNA from 1 species
GCACAAGCGGUGGAGCAUGUGGUUAAUUCGAUGCAACGCGAAGAACCUUACCUGGUCUUGACAUCCACGGAAGUUUCAGAGAUGAGAAUGUGCCUUCGGGAACCGUGAGACAGGUGCUGCAUGGCUGUCGUCAGCUCGUGUUGUGAAAUGUUGGGUUAAGUCCCGCAACGAGCGCAACCCUUAUCCUUUGUUGCCAGCGGUCCGGCCGGGAACUCAAAGGAGACUGCCAGUGAUAAACUGGAGGAAGGUGGGAUGACGUCAAGUCAUCAUGGCCCUUACGACCAGGGCUACACACGUGCUACAAUGGCGCAUACAAAGAGAAGCGACCUCGCGAGAGCAAGCGGACCUCAUAAAGUGCGUCGUAGUCCGGAUUGGAGUCUGCAACUCGACUCCAUGAAGUCGGAAUCGCUAGUAAUCGCGGAUCAGCACGCCGCGGUGAAUACGUUCCCGGGCCUU